rnacentral:rRNA from 1 species
AUGCACGAAGGAGGGUCAAGUAGUAUACCAUCCUCAAAGGGAACAAGUAAACACACAAAAAGGAUAAGUUUCAUCUUAGUAUAUGGAAUGCACGUGUCCCUUGGCGAUGGAGCCAAAGCCAUGGUAACCAGGAAGCUUCGGCGCACUCCCUUUCCCAAGAAGGCGAACUUCAGGGCUGAAGGAGGCCUCGUACUCGUCCAUCGAAACAUGUGCGGGCCUAUCAGCCCUGCAACCGAUGGCGGUCGUCGCUAUUUCCUGCUGCUGGUUGAUGACUGCACCGUUGCUUCAAUUCAGCGAGUCCAAGCGGUGGCUGAAGCAGAGUGUGGACGGCCAUUCCAUGUCUUCCGCACCUAUCAGCCCUGCAACCGAUGGCAGUCGUCGCUAUUUCCUGCUGCUGGUUGA